rnacentral:rRNA from 1 species
UGGGGAAUAUUGGACAAUGGGGGCAACCCUGAUCCAGCCAUGCCGCGUGAGUGAUGAAGGCCUUAGGGUUGUAAAGCUCUUUCACCCGGGACGAUAAUGACGGUACCGGGAGAAGAAGCCCCGGCUAACUUCGUGCCAGCAGCCGCGGUAAUACGAAGGGGGGCUAGCGUUGUUCGGAAUCANCUGGGCGUAAAGCGCACGUAGGCGGACCGUUAAGUCGGAGGUGAAAUCCUGGGGCUCAACCCCAGAACUGCCUUCGAUACUGGCGGUCUCGAGUCCGGAAGAGGUGAGUGGAACUGCCAGUGUAGAGGUGAAAUUCGUAGAUAUUGGCAAGAACACCAGUGGCGAAGGCGGCUCACUGGUCCGGUACUGACGCUGAGGUGCGAAAGCGUGGGGAGCAAAACAGGAUUAGAUACCCUGGUAGUCCACGCCGUAAAACGAUGAAUGCCAGCCGUCGGGCAGCAUGCUGUUCGGUGGCGCAGCUAACGCUUUAAGCAUUCCGCCUGGGGGAGUACGGUCGCAAGAUUAAAAACUCAAAUGAAUUGACGGGGGUCAUAGCUG